rnacentral:rRNA from 1 species
GACGAACGCUGGCGGCGUGCUUAACACAUGCAAGUCGAACGGAAAGGCCCUGCUUUUGUGGGGUGCUCGAGUGGCGAACGGGUGAGUAACACGUGAGUAACCUGCCCUUGACUUUGGGAUAACUUCAGGAAACUGGGGCUAAUACCGGAUAGGAGCUCCUGCUGCAUGGUGGGGGUUGGAAAGGUUCGGCGGUUGGGGAUGGACUCGCGGCUUAUCAGCUUGUUGGUGGGGUAGUGGCUUACCAAGGCGUUGACGGGUAGCCGGCCUGAGAGGGUGACCGGCCACAUUGGGACUGAGAUACGGCCCAGACUCCUACGGGAGGCAGCAGUGGGGAAUAUUGCACCAUGGGCGGAAGCCUGAUGCAGCAACGCCGCGUGCGGGAUGACGGCCUUCGGGUUGUAAACCGCUUUCGCCUGUGACGAAGCGUGAGUGACGGUAAUGGGUAAAGAAGCACCGGCUAACUACGUG